GUAGCACAGAGAGCUUGCUCUCGGGUGACGAGUGGCGGACGGGUGAGUAAUGUCUGGGAAACUGCCUGAUGGAGGGGGAUAACUACUGGAAACGGUAGCUAAUACCGCAUAAUGUCGCAAGACCAAAGAGGGGGACCUUCGGGCCUCUUGCCAUCAGAUGUGCCCAGAUGGGAUUAGCUAGUAGGUGGGGUAACGGCUCACCUAGGCGACGAUCCCUAGCUGGUCUGAGAGGAUGACCAGCCACACUGGAACUGAGACACGGUCCAGACUCCUACGGGAGGCAGCAGUGGGGAAUAUUGCACAAUGGGCGCAAGCCUGAUGCAGCCAUGCCGCGUGUAUGAAGAAGGCCUUCGGGUUGUAAAGUACUUUCAGCGGGGAGGAAGGUGUUGUGGUUAAUAACCGCAGCAAUUGACGUUACCC
rnacentral:rRNA from 1 species